rnacentral:rRNA from 1 species
GUUCCGGAAGGGCUCGGACAGCACGUCACUUCGUCCCAGAAAGCACAGAUUAAUUGGUACAAGUGUAUUUUGGAAGCAUACAGGAACACAACCCCACCGAGAACACCAGCAGAGGCUGCCCAGCUAGUUGCGACAGCCCUAAACUGGAUCCCAAGAGUUGAUUUGGAGGCUAUUCUUGAAUUUUACAACUUCCCGAUCCCAACAAGCGAAGCAGCAUUCUCAAACCAACUUCCAACGGCACUUCCAGAUGGCGUGCAGUUUGUGCUGAACACUUUGCCGGUUAAUGCAAAGUGCAUUGGAGAUGGUGAUGGCUUUACUGCUUAUGUUGCUGUAAUGGAUGAUCCCAGGGAGUCGGCAAAUGUACCACAAAAAGUGUAUGAGAUGGUGACUGAAAGGACUCAAGCACGCAUCCGUAGGGAUUACGACAGGGCUGAUACUCUUCGGAGUACCAUUGACGAAGCUGGAUACAAGAUAAUAAUCCGUUCAGGCAGUGAGAUCCUUGCAAGGAAAUACCGAAUCAGAAUGAGGGGAAUAGAUGCACCAGAGCUGAAGAUGCCAUAUGGGAAGGAAUCAAAGGAUGCUUUGGUGAAGCUCAUUGGUGGGAAAAGCACCAGGAUUUAUGUGUAUGAGCAGGACCAAUUUGGCCGAUAUGUUGGCGACAUCUAUUGCGACAGUGUGUUCAUCCAGGAGCAGAUGCUGAAGAAUGGUCAUGCAUGGUAUUUCAAAAAUUAUGAUUCACGCCGAGAGUUUUCUGAAUGGGAGAAAAAGGCAAGAGCUGCGUGCCAAGGGCUUUGGGCGUUAAAUAACCCUGAGAAGCCGUGGGACUGGAGAAGAGACGAGCGCAAUGGAAGACACAUCACUACUGAGGUCUAUUAA